GGGUCGGUGGCGUGGCUGGUUAUUGCAUAACAUAGUUAAGUAUGAUAAUGUUGUACCUUUUACACAGAAGGUCCUCAGUUCGAACCUGGGCCGACUCA